UACGGAGGGACCAAGCGUUGUUCGGAUUUACUGGGCGUAAAGGGCGCGUAGGCGGCAAUUCAAGUCAGCUGUGAAAUCUCCGGGCUUAACUCGGAACGGUCAGCUGAUACUGCUUUGCUAGAGUGCAGAAGGGGCAAUCGGAAUUCUUGGUGUAGCGGUGAAAUGCGUAGAUAUCAAGAGGAACACCUGAGGUGAAGACGGGUUGCUGGGCUGACACUGACGCUGAGGCGCGAAAGCUAGGGGAGCAAACAGG
rnacentral:rRNA from 1 species